CCCACCGCGCGCGGGGGCGGGCGGCGGGCGCUGCGGGGGCCCUCUGGCCCACCCCUCCCCGGCCACCUCCCGCGCCCCCUCUCACCGCAUGAGCAGCGAUCCCGCGGUCUAGCCCUUCAUCCCGGUGCUGCAGUCCCACGGCCACCCUCGCUGGAGGUGGUUCCGUGCGGAGCGUCCCACAGAUGUGGAUUUCCUCUCCGUCCUGGUGGGGUUCGGCGCCUAACUGGAACCAUGUGGCUCGGUGUUAGCAUGGACUCUGAACUCUGUGCUAGCUCUACGGGCAAUACAUCCAGGCAAAACAAGAGCCCAAGGAAAAGGAAGCUGCCUCUUUCUCUGCAUCUCUCCAAAGAGUGAAGAUGUCUUUCCCAGAAGACCCCCAACAGAUUUCCUCGGGACACGGGUUCGAGCCCUGGUCUGGGAAGAUCCUACAUGCCGCGGAGCAACUGGGCCCGUGAGCCACAAUUACUGAGCCUGCGCGUCUGGAGCCUGCGCGUCUGGAGCCUGUGCUCCGUAACGAGAGAGGCCGCGAUAGUGAGAGGCCCGCGCACCGCGAUGAAGAGUGGCCCCCGCUUGCCACAACUAGAGAAAGCCCUCGCACGGAAACGAAGACCCAACACAGCCAUAAAUAAAUAAAUAAAGCAAACUGUCAACAAGUAAAAAUAAAUAAACACUAUUUUAAAAAAAAAAGAAAAUAGAGCUGUAAUCAGACAAAGAAAUUUUUCUGGUUUUU